rnacentral:rRNA from 1 species
UACAGAGGGUGCGAGCGUUGUUCGGAAUUACUGGGCGUAAAGCGCGCGCAGGCGGCUCUUUAAGUCUGACGGUGAAAUGCCGGGGCUCAACCCCGUGCCCGCGGGAGAUACUGGGGAGCUGGAGACGAGUAGAGGCAAGCGGAAUUCCGGGUGUAGCGGUGGAAUGCGUAGAGAUCCGGAAGAACACCGGAGGCGAAGGCGGCUUGCUGGGCUCGGUCUGACGCUGAGGCGCGAAAGCGUGGGGAGCGAACAGG